rnacentral:rRNA from 1 species
CCUACGGGAGGCAGCAGUGGGGAAUAUUGCACAAUGGGGGCAACCCUGAUGCAGCAACGCCGCGUGAAGGAAGAAGGGUUUCGGCUCGUAAACUUCUAUCAACAGGGACGAAAGCAAUGACGGUACCUGAAUAAGAAACCCCGGCUAACUACGUGACAGCAGCCGCGGUAAUACGUAGGGGGCAAGCGUUAUACGGAAUUACUGGGUGUAAAGGGUGGGUAGGCGGCAUGGUAAGCGAGAUGUGAAAGCCUUGGGCUUAACCCGGGAAUUGCAUUUGGUACUAUGAAGCUAGAGUACAGGAGAGGAAAGCGGAAUUCCGAGUGUAGCGGUGAAAUGCGUAGAUAUGAGGAAGAACACCAGAGGCGAAGGCGGCUUUUUGGACUGAAACUGACGCUGAGGCACGAAAGCGUGGGGAGCGAACAGGAUUAGAUACCCUAGUAGUC